rnacentral:rRNA from 1 species
GGUUUGAUCAUGGCUCAGAUUGGAACGCUGGCGGGAUGUCGUAUACAUGCAAGUCGAACGGCAGCAAUGACUACGUCUGCGGCGAGUGGCGAAUCGGUGGAAGAAUGCAUCGGAACGUGCCUAGUAGCGGGGGAUAACUACGCGAAAGCGUAGCUAAUACCGCAUACACCCUUCGGGAAAGCGGGGACCUUCGGGCCUCGCACUAUUAGAGCGGCCGAUAUCGGAUUAGCUUAGUUGGUGGGGUAACGGCUCACCACAGCGACGAUCCGUAGCUGGUUUUGAGACGACCAGCCACACUGGGACUGGAGACACGGCCCAGACUCCUACGGGAGGCAGCAGGGGGCCUGACAAUGGGGAAACCCCGAUCCAGCCAUCCCGGGCGUGUGUGAUGAAGGCCUGCUGUGCAAAGCACUUUGGCAGGAAAGAAACGGUAUCGGAUAAUACCCCGUGCAACUGACGGUACCUGCAGAAUAAGCACCGGCUAACUACGUGCCAGCAGCCGCGGUAAUACGUGGGUAAGCGUUAAUCGGAAUUACUGGGCGUAAGCGUGCGCAGGCGGUUCGGAAAGAAAGAUGUGAAAUCCCAGAGCUUAACUUUGGAACUGGCAUUUUUAACUACCGAGCUAGAGUGUGUCAGAGGGAGGAAUUCCGCGUGUAGCAGUGAAAUGCGAUAUGCGGAGGAACACCGAUGGCGAAGGCAGCCUCCCUGGGAUAACACUGACGCUCAUGCACGAAAGCGUGGGGAGCAAACAGGAUUAGAUACCCUAGUAGUCCACGCCCUAAAUCACGUCAACUAGCUGUUGGGGCCUUCGGGCUCGGUAGCGCAGCUAACGCGGUGAGCUGACCGCCUGGGGAGUACGGUCGCAAGAUUAAACCCUGGGCUGACGGGGACCCGCACAAGCCGGUGGAUGAUGUGGAUUAACUGGAUGCAACGCGAAAAAACCUUACCUACCCUUGACAUGUCUGGAAUCCCGAAGUAGAUUUGGGAGUGUUCGCAAGAGAACCGAACACAGGUGCUGCAUGGCUGUCGUCAGCUCGUGUCGUGAGAUGUUGGUUGGAGUCCCGCAACGAGCGCAACCCUUGUCAUUAGUUGCUACGAAAGGGCACUCUAAUGAGACUGCUGGUGACAAACUGGAGGAAGGUGGGGAUGACGUCAAGUCCUCAUGGCCCUUAUGGGUAGGUACUUCACACGUCAUACAAUGGUCGGGACAGAGGGUCGCCAACCCGCGAGAGCCAAUCCCAGAAACCCCGAUCGUAGUCCGAUCGCAGUCUGCAACUCGACUGCGUGAAGUCGGAAUCGCUAGUAAUCGCGGAUCAGCAUGUCGCGGUGAACACGUUCCCGGGUCUUGUACACACAUCCGUCUGUCACACCAUGGGAGUGGGUUUUACUAUGAAGUAGUUAGCCUAACCGUAAGGAGGGCGAUUACCACGGUAGGAUUCAUGACUGGGGUGUAGCUGUAACAAGGUAG